UACGUAGGGUGCGAGCGUUGUCCGGAAUUAUUGGGCGUAAAGAGCUCGUAGGCGGUUUGUCGCGUCUGCUGUGAAAACUGGAGGCUCAACCUCCAGCCUGCAGUGGGUACGGGCAAACUAGAGUGCGGUAGGGGAGAUUGGAAUUCCUGGUGUAGCGGUGGAAUGCGCAGAUAUCAAGAGGAACACCUGAGGUGAAGACGGGUUGCUGGGCUGACACUGACGCUGAGGCGCGAAAGCUAGGGGAGCAAACGGG
rnacentral:rRNA from 1 species